UACUUCCACGGUGGUACAACUGCAUAUGACUUUUUUGGCAUAUAUAUUAUGAACUAAAAAUGUUUUGCUUUAAUUUAGGUCUAGAAGCUGAAAAAGAACAAGGAGUUUCAGACCCUUCUGUUGAUGAUGUAAUAAAACAACUGGACUCUCAAACACUUGAAAGCAAGGAAAAGGAUGAAGAUGAUGAUGAGGCAGAUGGGGAAGGAGAAGGAGCUGCUGGGAAGAAGAAAAAGAAAAAGAAGAAGAAGAAA